rnacentral:rRNA from 1 species
UACGUAGGGUGCAAGCGUUGUCCGGAAUUAUUGGGCGUAAAGAGCGUGUAGGCGGCCAGGUAGGUCUGCUGUGAAAACUCGAGGCUUAACCUCGAGAUGUCGGCGGAAACCAUCUGGCUAGAGUCCGGAAGAGGAGAGUGGAAUUCCUGGUGUAGCGGUGAAAUGCGCAGAUAUCAGGAAGAACACCCGUGGCGAAGGCGGUUCUCUGGGACGGUACUGACGCUGAGACGCGAAAGCGUGGGGAGCGAACGGG